ACGAACGCUGGCGGCGUGCUUAACACAUGCAAGUCGAACGGAAAGGCCCUGCUUUUGGGGGGUGCUCGAGUGGCGAAGGGGGGAGUAACACGUGAGUAACCUGCCCUGGACUUGGGGAUAACUUCAGGAAACUGGGGCUAAUACCGGAUAGGAGCUCCUGCUGCAUGGGGGGGGUGGGAAGGUUUCGGCGGUUGGGGAUGGACUCGCGGCUUAUCAGCUUGUUGGUGGGGUAGUGGCUUACCAAGGCUUUGACGGGUAGCCGGCCUGAGAGGGUGACCGGCCACAUUGGGACUGAGAUACGGCCCAGACUCCUACGGGAGGCAGCAGUGGGGAAUAUUGCACAAUGGGCGGAAGCCUGAUGCAGCAACGCCGCGUGCGGGAUGACGGCCUUCGGGUUGUAAACCGCUUUCGCCUGUGACGAAGCGUGAGUGACGGUAAUGGGUAAAGAAGCACCGGCUAACUACGUG
rnacentral:rRNA from 1 species